AUUGAACGCUGGCGGAAUGCUUUACACAUGCAAGUCGAACGGCAGCACGGACUUCGGUCUGGUGGCGAGUGGCGAACGGGUGAGUAACAUAUCGGAACGUAUCCAAUAAUGGGGGAUAACGAGUCGAAAGAUUCGCUAAUACCGCAUACGCCCUACGGGGGAAAGCAGGGGAUCUUCGGACCUUGCGUUAAUGGAGCGGCCGAUAUCUGAUUAGCUAGUUGGUGAGGUAAAGGCUCACCAAGGCGACGAUCAGUAGCUGGUCUGAGAGGACGACCAGCCACACUGGAACUGAGACACGGUCCAGACUCCUACGGGAGGCAGCAGUGGGGAAUUUUGGACAAUGGGGGCAACCCUGAUCCAGCCAUUCCGCGUGAGUGAAGAAGGCCUUCGGGUUGUGAAGCUCUUUCGCAAGGGAAGAAAACUUAUCUAAUAACACUAGAUGAGGCUGACGGUACCUUGAUAAGAAGCACCGGCUAACUACGUGCCAGCAGCCGCCGUAAAAC
rnacentral:rRNA from 1 species